AUUGAACGCUGGCGGCAGGCCUAACACAUGCAAGUCGAGCGGAUGACGGGAGCUUGCUCCUUGAUUCAGCGGCGGACGGGUGAGUAAUGCCUAGGAAUCUGCCUGGUAGUGGGGGACAACGGUUCGAAAGGAACGCUAAUACCGCAUACGUCCUACGGGAGAAAGCAGGGGACCUUCGGGCCUUGCGCUAUCAGAUGAGCCUAGGUCGGAUUAGCUUGUUGGUGAGGUAAUGGCUCACCAAGGCGACGAUCCGUAACUGGUCUGAGAGGAUGAUCAGUCACACUGGAACUGAGACACGGUCCAGACUCCUACGGGAGGCAGCAGUGGGGAAUAUUGGACAAUGGGCGAAAGCCUGAUCCAGCCAUGCCGCGUGUGUGAAGAAGGUCUUCGGAUUGUAAAGCACUUUAAGUUGGGAGGAAGGGUUGUAGAUUAAUACUCUGCAAUUUUGACGUUACCGACAGAAUAAGCACCGGCUAACUCUGUG
rnacentral:rRNA from 1 species